AGGACGAACGCUGGCGGCGUACUUAACACAUGCAAGUCGAGCGGAAAGGCCCUUCGGGGUACUCGAGCGGCGAACGGGUGAGUAACACGUGAGCAAUCUGCCCCUAGCUCUGGGAUAGCUCCGGGAAACCGGGAUUAAUACCAGAUACAACCACUUUAGACAUCUUUUGUGGUGGAAAGGAUUCCGGCUAGGGAUGAGCUCGCGGCCUAUCAGCUUGUUGGUUGGGUAACGCCCACAAGGCGACGACGGGUA
rnacentral:rRNA from 1 species